UCUUGACAUCCAGAGAACUUUCCAGAGAUGGAUUGGUGCCUUCGGGAACUGUGAGACAGGUGCUGCAUGGCUGUCGUCAGCUCGUGUUGUGAAAUGUUGGGUUAAGUCCCGCAACGAGCGCAACCCUUAUCCUUUGUUGCCAGCGGUCCGGCCGGGAACUCAAAGGAGACUGCCAGUGAUAAACUGGAGGAAGGUGGGGAUGACGUCAAGUCAUCAUGGCCCUUACGACCAGGGCUACACACGUGCUACAAUGGCGCAUACUAAGAGAAGCGACCUCGCGAGAGCAAGCGGACCUCAUAAAGUGCGUCGUCCGGAUUGGAGUCUGCAACUCGACUCCAUGAAGUCGGAAUCGCUAGUAAUCGUAGAUCAGAAU
rnacentral:rRNA from 1 species